rnacentral:rRNA from 1 species
UAGUGAUAGCUGGUUGUUCAGGAAAAGAGUUUUAGCUCUGCCUUAAGUUUUUUCAUUCCAUCAAACAAGCCCUUAAACUUAAGAGUUAUUCAAAUUAGGCACAGCUUAUUUGAAACAGGAUACAACCUCCACCACCGGGUAAACAAGGGUAGCCAAAACUAAGUGGGCCUAAAAGCAGCCACCUUCCUAAAAGCGUCAAAGCUUAUCUACUCCAACCCUCAAUUUCUAAAAUACUCCCUAACCCUUCAUUCCUACUGACCCCUUUUAUACUAUUAUAAAAAUAAUUAUGCUAGAACUAGUAACAAGAAGUCGCCCUUCUCCCUAAUGUAAAUAUAAGCCAAAACGGACAUUCCAUUGGUAAUUAACGUAAAUGCAAACCCCAUAAUAACAUAACCAGAAAACCUUAUGGCCCCCCACGUUACCCUAACACUAGAACAUUACAGGAAAGAUUAAAAGAGAAAGAAGGAACUCGGCAAAUUUUAACCCCGCCUGUUUACCAAAAACAUCGCCUCUUGAUUAAACAUAAGAGGUCCAGCCUGCCCAGUGACAAAAUUCAACGGCCGCGGUACACUAACCGUGCGAAGGUAGCAUAAUCAUUUGUUCUUUAAAUAAGGACUAGUAUCAACGGCAUCACGAGGGUUAUACUGUCUCCUAUCUCUAAUCAGUGAAACUGAUCCCCCCGUGAAGAAGCGGGGAUUUAGCUAUAAGACGAGAAGACCCCAUGGAGCUUUAAACCCAACAUGCACCCUCCAUCCAAACCAACUUAACCUAGAGGGCCUGCAUGUUGGUUUUAGGCUGGGGGGGCCACGGAGUAAAAUUAAACCUCCACAACAAAUGGGCUAACACCCUUAUCCGCGAUUUUACAAAUCUAAGAAUUACCAAAAUAAUGUUUAAUGACCCGAUAAUUCGAUCAAUGAACCAAGUUACCCUGGGGAUAACAGCGCAAUCUACUUCGAGAGCUCUUAUCGACAAGUAGGUUUACGACCUCGAUGUUGGAUCAGGGUAUCCUAGUGGUGCAACCGCUACUAAUGGUUCGUUUGUUCAACGAUUAAAACCCU